UUUUGGCGGUUAAAUUGAAAUUCGGAUAAAUGAUUAGAUUAGGUUAUGUUGGCAUUCGGUUAAAUCGAAUCAGGUGCGCGUCCAUGAUCGGGCUCGAUCCGACAGUUAUUAUAUUGUCUAAUUUGAUUAGUAUUAAUCUCGCUUUUAAAUUAAAAAGCUAAUUAGAGAUAAAUUCUAAUCAUAUUAGGAUAACAAUAAAUAAAUAAUUUGUCUUAUCUAUUAGGAUUUUGAAAUUCCUUAUAAAUAUACGGACGAUCUUACAUAAAAUAACGAAUAAGAAAGAGAACGAACAAAAAAAACUAAGAGAGCGAGUGUUUUGAACGGUGUAUUGGAAAUCGUGGUCGUUUGUAAAGUUUGGAGCGAAAGAAGAUUUUCAAGCACGAUCCGAGAACACGUGAAUCAACCUUUACGAUUCGGACUCGUUGCGUUCUAGCACAAAUUGCUUCCGUAAAAAAAUACGAGUAAAAAGGUAUGAACAAAUACUUUCGCUGUGUUUCUACAUGUUAUUUCAAAAUUACGUAUUUUUUUCAAAUUUAUUAUACAUAUAUAUUAAUACAU
rnacentral:lncRNA from 1 species